GUGAAUCAUCGAAUUUUUGAACGCAAAUUGCACUCCCUGGUAUUCCGGGGGGUAUGCCUGUUUGAGGGUCGUUAGAAUAAAAAAUCGAUGCGUCGCUCUUUUUUUUAAGGGUGAGCGUGUCGGAAUUGAGCUGUCUUUCAAAUGUUAAUUCAGGUAUAAGUUGUGUGAAAUUCAUCCAUCUGGUAUG
rnacentral:misc_RNA from 1 species